CCAGGUAAAUCCGGUUCACUUUAACACUGAGGCGUGAUGACGAGGCACUACGGUGCUGAAGCAACAAAUGCCCUGCUUCCAGGAAAAGCCUCUAAGCAUCAGGUAACAUCAAAUCGUACCCCAAACCGACACAGGUGGUCAGGUAGAGAAUACCAAGGCGCUUGAGAGAACUCGGGUGAAGGAACUAGGCAAAAUGGUGCCGUAACUUCGGGAGAAGGCACGCUGACACGUAGGUGAAGUGAUUUACUCAUGGAGCUGAAGUCAGUCGAAGAUACCAGCUGGCUGCAACUGUUUAUUAAAAACACAGCACUGUGCAAACACGAAAGUGGACGUAUACGGUGUGACGCCUGCCCGGUGCCGGAAGGUUAAUUGAUGGGGUCAGCGCAAGCGAAGCUCCUGAUCGAAGCCCCGGUAAACGGCGGCCGUAACUAUAACGGUCCUAAGGUAGCGAAAUUCCUUGUCGGGUAAGUUCCGACCUGCACGAAUGGCGUAAUGAUGGCCAGGCUGUCUCCACCCGAGACUCAGUGAAAUUGAACUCGCUGUGAAGAUGCAGUGUACCCGCGGCAAGACGGAAAGACCCCGUGAACCUUUACUAUAGCUUGACACUGAACAUUGAGCCUUGAUGUGUAGGAUAGGUGGGAGGCUUUGAAGUGUGGACGCCAGUCUGCAUGGAGCCGGCCUUGAAAUACCACCCUUUAAUGUUUGAUGUUCUAACGUGGACCCGUGAUCCGGGUUGCGGACAGUGUCUGGUGGGUAGUUUGACUGGGGCGGUCUCCUCCUAAAGAGUAACGGAGGAGCACGAAGGUUGGCUAAUCCUGGUCGGACAUCAGGAGGUUAGUGCAAUGGCAUAAGCCAGCUUGACUGCGAGCGUGACGGCGCGAGCAGGUGCGAAAGCAGGUCAUAGUGAUCCGGUGGUUCUGAAUGGAAGGGCCAUCGCUCAACGGAUAAAAGGUACUCCGGGGAUAACAGGCUGAUACCGCCCAAGAGUUCAUAUCGACGGCGGUGUUUGGCACCUCGAUGUCGGCUCAUCACAUCCUGGGGCUGAAGUAGGUCCCAAGGGUAUGGCUGUUCGCCAUUUAAAGUGGUACGCGAGCUGGGUUUAGAACGUCGUGAGACAGUUCGGUCCCUAUCUGCCGUGGGCGCUGGAGAACUGAGGGGGGCUGCUCCUAGUACGAGAGGACCGGAGUGGACGCAUCACUGGUGUUCGGGUUGUCAUGCCAAUGGCACUGCCCGGUAGCUAAAUGCGGAAGAGAUAAGUGCUGAAAGCAUCUAAGCACGAAACUUGCCCCGAGAUGAGUUCUCCCUGAGACUUUAGGUCUCCUGAAGGAACGUUGAAGACGACGACGUUGAUAGGCCGGGUGUGUAAGCGCAGCGAUGCGUUGAGCUAACCGGUACUAAUGAACCGUGAGGCUUAACCUU
rnacentral:rRNA from 1 species